GGCCUCCACAUUGAGUUCUGUGUCCUUUAAAACAGAUGUCUUGGGGAUGCUGGACAUCAAGAAAAUGAAUCCAAUGUUUCGAUGACUCUUUGCUUUGAGUUGCCUUGAGAGUAUCUGGCACUGUUUUUAACAUUUUCGGAGACUGGUUUUGAGAAAUUAAAGAAAAAAAGGAAAAAAACUAUCCAGAGUCCUGGAGGAAAUGGAACCCUCUAGUCACUCUGCUUCAUUCAAAUCAAUGGUGACAGUCCUUUCGCAUCCAAGUUAAAUAACUACAGUUCCUUAAGUACUUACCUAAAGGACUUGUCUUCUAAUACUCAGGGUCCUCACUACAUUUUCCCAGACCCAAUCAGAGUACUGGGACCAACAGUAUGGAAGUCAGCUCCAGAGAUGCAGACUGCAGAGUUCACCAUCUGCGGUAACACAGAGCACACAUUUGUGUGGCACUCCACUCAUCACAAGUCCAUUCAUAUAUGUUCUAUCUUCCGAUCUUCAUAGCAUUUCUAUGAAGCAGAUGUGAACCACCUGAAGAUUUAAGAAUGAGGAUAAAGCUCCCUAAGAAAAAUCCAAAGAAGAGUCUGUUGCCUGCUAUACAGACAAAUUUUCACCAAAUGGAAAAGAAACAGUAAAAUUCAUCACCAAAAUGGUAGAUUCCUUGAAAACAUCCUUGUGAGUCAAGGAAAUAUGGUUCAGCUCAAAUAGCACCAAGGUUUGGGUAAAGAAUGGAAUGAGAGACUUACCAGCUCACCAAAUCAAUCCUGUAGAGGCUCACCCAUCCUUUUUCACACAUUCCACACAGAUGUAUGCAUAUCUUUAAAAAGAGUGGUCACCCAAAUUGAGAUUUCAAAAUUUUAUCUAGUUUCAGUUUGUUUUGUAUAUCCAGAAUUUUGUUGGUAAAAUAAAAAAACAUUAGAAUGUACAAUAAUCGUGAAACAGUGAUGUUUCUGGAGAUUAAAAAAAAUUUUUUUCAAA